UAGCUUAGCGCAGGGGCUAAUGGAUCCGAAGUGACCCUAGGGUGAAAUUACUCCGAACCAUCACUUUAAGCUGUAUGUGGUAGCACACGGUAGAUUGGACGAGCUUGAAAAAUGUGGCUAGAGGACCAAAAGGUCAUACCGUCUAGUAUUCACAGGAGUAAAAGAAAUGUAUCUUGUUUAACAUAAUUUAGCUGCUGUCUGUCUCUCAGGAUUUGGAUCAUUUGGGCUUUAAAGCCUGUGAAGCCACAUUCAAGGACCACUGAAGCUGCUCCUGUUGUUUGGGCACUGUCUGGAGCAACGGAAUGAUCAAAAGCUGUAAAGCUGCUUUCUUUAAUGCUGGCACCACUCCAUACAGCUUUUCUUGCUUACUCACAUCCCCAAGUAGGGCAGAAGCCCCAAAGGUUUUCUGCAAGUUUUACAUAUGGGUAAUAUUUAUAAAGUAACCAAACAGGAGAAAAACUUUAAGGCAGAUAGAAAUUGAAAUAGAACCACUACAGAUAUUAGAGCAGCAGAUGUGUUUUUAGAUUAUUAUAAAGAACUAGAAAACAUACAUUCACCCAAGCUGCACAACCCCCUAAAUGUGCUGUAAAAUCCACAAAAUAUGCAUUAAGAGUUGCAUCAAACUACACUGUGACACUUAUGAGAUGCAUUUUCAUCCGAAUAAGUGCAGUAGUUCUAUAGAAAGUGAGGAAGGUAAAAAAAAAAAAAAAAAAAGGUCUUAUCUGCAAUGUUAAUAGGUCAUUAAAAAAAAAGUACUGGAUGCACACCAGAAAUAAAUCAUUUAUUUCUUAUAUGGCCAAACUUUACACGUUUUAACAUAUCCUGCUAAUUAGAUACAAACAAUAUGAGAAACAAGCAAAGAGAAGGGAAUGCCAGCAUAAUCUUUUUGGCAGAAGUAACAAAUAAUAUUAUCUAAGUAUUAUAGAAUAAAUCUGCACAUUUCUAACAAAGGAGCAGCUGUGCAGCUCUCAUUUGCUGCAUAACUACCCCUAAUCAGGUCCUGGGUUAUACCUUUAAAAUGUAAUAAUGUUCAUUCUUCAAUAUAACUAUAACUUUUUGCAGAUCUAAUUGAUCAACCAGCAUAUGAAUGCAUCAUUAAACUCAAAUCAAAGAGAGAAAAUCCUUUAGUGGAAAAAAACCCCCACCAAAAGUCAAUCAAAUGUAUCCAUUACUUUUUGAGACAUCUGACCAACAAACACACCCGGGUUGAAAAUAAUCUUAAAGUAACACAAAUAUUUAUUGUUGUCAUUCUACCAUUUAGGUCAUUAGGGAGUGGUAAUUUAUUGUCACAGUGGACUGGGAAUUACAUUUGUCACACUGUGGAUAUCUCAGUUUGGAAUUAAACUCUUCAGAUAUAUUCUCAAAUUUAAGAGUACCUUUUAGUAUUUGUACUCCAAGUGUUUACUUGAGCCUCUGAGAAACACCAAAUAAUUGAGCGUUUACUGUUUUGGAGUACUUGGGAGUAUUAGAGCCUAUUUUGACUUGCUCUACAGGCAGGUUUAGUGACUUGAUAUGAAGUAUUUGAGGGUUUAACAUGUGUGUCUGUCUGUCUUGUCUUGGUUAUAAUAUCUGUCUCAUUCAGGCAUGCAGUGCCCACCUACUCUGUAUAGAGUUUUUUUAAACUCUCCAUGAAGCCUUCAUGGACCUUCUGUACAUGGUUUAUACACACUCUGUGAUUGUGGAGCUGCUGUUCUCAGUGCUGCUGGUGUUUUCUUUCUGGUCGUACAAGACUGAUUAUAUUAUCUCAUAUUAUUUCUCUCUAGUUUUCAUAUUGGUUUUUCUUGUGUCUGUGGUGCUUCUGUGCUGUGAUGAGCCUAUAUGACGCCAACAAUGCUUUUAUCUUUUCUAUUUCUCUUGUAAUAAAAAGCUUUUUCAUGGAGUAUA